UUCUUUAUGAUUUGUAUAUAAAGUAUUUUCUGCCCAAUGAUUAAUUUAAAUGGCUGCAGUAUAUUGACUGUACAAAGGUAGCAUAGUAAUUAGUUUUUUAAUUGAGAACUUGAAUGAAUGGAUAAAUGAAAUAUUAUCUUUAUUAAUUUAAUUAUUAGAAUUUUAUUUUUUAGUCAAAAAGCUAAAUAAUAUUUUAGGGACGAUAAGACCCUAUAGAAUUUAAAAUAUAAAUUUAUUGAAUUAUUUUUAGAUAAAAUUUGUUUAUUUAAUUUAAAUUUUUAAUUGGGGUAAUUAAUAAAUUUUAUUUUAUUUUUUUAAUUCAUUAAUAUAUGUAUACUUGAUCUUUUAUUUAGGAUUAUAAGAUAAAUUACCUUAGGGAUAACAGCGUAAUUUUAAUGGAAAGUUCAUAUUUAAAUUGGAGUUUGCGACCUCGAUGUUGAAUUAAGAUAGUUUUAUGGUGUAGAAGCUUUAAUUUUAAGUCUGUUCGACUUUUAUAAUCUUACA
rnacentral:rRNA from 2 species